GCCGAGGUGGUGAAAUGGCAGACACACUGGCUUUAGGAGCCAGCGCCGCAAGGCAUGCGGGUUCAAAUCCCGCCCUCGGCA
rnacentral:tRNA from 1 species